AUGGUGCGAGGCCUGCCAUGCCUCGACCAUGUGGAGCAGUUCUGCGACAUCUGCGUACUGACAAAGCAGAGACGACUCCCCUUUCCCCAACAGGCGAGUUUUCGGGCUAAGGAGAAGCUGGAGCUCGUGCACGGAGACCUGUGCGGCCCGGUGACGCCAGCCACACCAGGAGGUCGACGCUACUUCCUGCUGCUCGUCGACUAUCUCUCCCGCUACAUGUGGGUGAUGAUCCUCGGCAGUAAGGGAGAAGCGGCGGACGCCAUCAGGCGCGCGCGGGUUGGUGUGGAGGCGGAGAGCGGCCACAAAUUGCGCGUGUUGCGCACUGACAACGGCGGCGAGUUCACGGCGGCUGAAUUCGCAUCGUACUGCGCCGAUGAGGGCAUCCAGCGCCACUACUCCGCGCCAUACAGCCCGCAGCAAAACGGCGUCGUCGAGCGGCGCAACCAGACGGUUGUGGGGAUGGCUCGGGCUCUCCUCAAGCAGAGAGGGAUGCCGGCUGUCUUCUGGGGAGAGGCGGUGCUAACGGCCGUCUACAUCCUCAACCGCUCUCCUACUAAGGCACUCGACGGCAGAACUCCGUACGAGGCCUGGCAUGGGCGGAAGCUGGCGGUCUCUCAUUUGCGGGUCUUUGGCUGCCUUGCGUUCGCCAAGGAGCUCGGCCACAUCGGCAAGCUCGACGACAGGAGCACUCCGGGAGUCUUCAUCGGCUACGCGGAGGGCUCAAAGGCCUACCGCAUCCUCGACCCAAAGACACAACGUGUGCGCACAGCGCGAGACGUCGUGUUCAACGAAGGGCGAGGGUGGCAAUGGGACAAGGCGGUGGACGACGGCUCGACGCCGACGUAUGGCGACUUCAUUGUCGAGUACGCUCACUUCAAGGAAGCUGGGGGAGCAAGCAGCUCCUCUUCACCGGGCACGUCUACCCCGGCCCCCAAAACUACAUCGACUCCGGCGCCUGCUACACCGACGACACCACAACCGGCGACGCCGCAUACUCCAGCCCUGGUGGUCGCCACUCCGGGCUCGUCUUCAUCAGCACCAGCUCACGCAGAGCACAACCCGAUGAAGUUCGCUUCCCCGCUCACUCACGACGAGGAGCGGGUCGACGCAUGGUAUGGAGGCGAACAGCAGCGGUAUCGCACGAUGGAUGAUCUACUCGGCGACCAGCCGGUGCCGGGACUGAUGCCACGUGACCUGGAGGCGCAGCUACAACUCGCGUGUGAGGACGGCGAACCACGGUCUUUUGCAGAGGCCGAGAGAGAUGCGGCAUGGCGCGCCGCGAUGCAGUUGGAGAUGGAUGCGGUCGAGCAAAACCGCACCUGGGAGCUCGCUGACCUCCCCCGUGGUCAUCGCGCAAUCACCCUUAAGUGGGUGUUCAAGCUGAAGAGGGAUGGAGCCGGCGCCAUCAUCAAGCACAAGGCUCGCCUGGUGGCCCGAGGCUUCUUGUAG
rnacentral:rRNA from 1 species